rnacentral:tRNA from 4 species
GGAGAGAUGGCUGAGUG